UGGGAGUUAUCUCAGUGGUAGAGCACUUACCUAAGCCUAACAUGCUUGAGGUCCUGGGUUCAAUUCCCAGUACCUUAA
rnacentral:tRNA from 1 species